AGAACGAACGCUGGCGGCAUGCCUAACACAUGCAAGUCGAACGCUUUUGGGGCUUCGGUCCCAAAGGAGUGGCGCACGGGUGAGUAGCGCGUGGGAACCUGCCCUGUUGUGGGGGAUAACCGAGGGAAACUUCGGCUAAUACCGCAUACGCCCGGGGGAAACUCCGGGGAAAGAUUUAUCGCAGCAGGAGGGGCCCGCGUCGGAUUAGGUAGUUGGUGGGGUAACGGCCCACCAAGCCUGUGAUCCGUAGCUGGUCUGAGAGGAUGAUCAGCCACACUGGGACUGAGACACGGCCCAGACUCCUACGGGAGGCAGCAGUGGGGAAUAUUGGACAAUGGGCGCAAGCCUGAUCCAGCAAUGCCGCGUGAGUGAUGAAGGCCUUCGGGUUGUAAAGCUCUUUCGCACGCGACGAUGAUGACGGUAGCGUGAGAAGACGCCCGGCUAACUCGUGCCAGCAGCCGC
rnacentral:rRNA from 1 species